UCUCCGUUGGUGAACCAGCGGAGGGAUCAUUACUGAGUGUAAAAACUCCCAACCCUUUGUGAACAUACCUCUGUUGCUUCGGCGGAUGCGCCCCGGGCGCGCCUUCUAGGAGGCGUGCCCCGGAACCAGGCGCCCGCCGGGGGACCGAAACUCUUGUUUUUAUAGGAUCUCUGAGUGUGAUUAUAAAAUAAAUCAAAACUUUCAACAACGGAUCUCUUGGCUCUAGCAUCGAUGAAGAACGCAGC
rnacentral:misc_RNA from 1 species